GUCUUUGUGUAGGCAGGACAUAUACUGAAAUUGGAACAAUAGAGAGCAGAUUAGCAUGGCCCCUGUGCCAGGAUCACACGCAAAUUUGCCAAAAUAUAUAUAUAUUU